AAAAAAAUUAAAGAAUGCCAAAAAAAAAAUAUUGAGAAGAAGUGAUAAAAACAAUUUCAAAAAUAUUUUUUUAAUAAAAAUGGGGUGUCUUUUACUUUCCUAUCCUCUCUUCUCCUCCGUACAGUGUAUACUCUCUUCUCUUUCAGUUCUCAUUCUCUACUCCAAAUUCGUUCCGUUGCUCUAUCUCCAUGUCAUCCGUCGUUUUCUUCCUCGCCGGCGGCGCCCACUGGUUUAACCUCACAGUGGAAGUUUCAAUGGCCAGAAAAUCUGGUCCGAGACUAACGAUGCUAUCUGUAUACCUUUAUAUUCCCAAUAUCAUUGGGUACAUAAGGGUUCUUAUGAACUGUUUUGCCUUUGCCCAAUGGUUUUCCAACAAAAAGCUUUUCUCCGUUCUUUAUUUCAUUAGCUUUGUGUGCGAUGGCAUAGAUGGUUGGUGUGCUCGGAAAUUCAAUCAAGUUUCUACAUUUGGAGCUGUUUUGGACAUGGUAACAGACAGGAUUAGCACUGCUUGUCUAUUGGUAAUCCUUUCCCAAGUGUACCGGCCUGGUUUGGUUUUCCUCUCAUUGCUUGCCUUAGAUAUUGCCAGUCACUGGUUGCAGAUGUACAGUACUUUCUUGUCGGGCAAGGUUAGUCAUAAAGAUGUAAAAGAUAGCACUAAUUGGCUUUUCAAGUUAUAUUACGGAAAUAGGAUGUUUAUGGCUUACUGCUGUGUGGCUUGUGAGGUUCUUUAUAUAUUGUUAUUUCUUCUAGCAAAGAACGAUACUGAGAAUUUGAUGGAUGUAAGUGAUUCUGACAAUUGCAUCGUUUGUUAAAUUUCUGUGUGGAUGUUAAGUUGAUUUAUGCUGAUAUCUUGAUUUCUUUUUUUUUUUGGUAACCGAGGGUAUCAGGGGCCCCACCCCCACUAAUCCCUCGAGGUCCUGGCGCUAACCCCAAGUGGCACAUUGGCCCCAAAGGGUAUUUUUGUCGACCGGAGACUGCCCCAGUGGCCCCAAUAAGUUUUUAAUCACUCGUGGGGAAUCGAACCUGGGAUGGAUUUUAAUAAGUUCAGCGAAACAAAAUGCACUGCUUGCUAUUCUAGUUAGCUUGAGUUUAUUUGGAUGGGCGGUCAAGCAAGCAGUUAAUGUUAUCCAGUUGAAGACAGCUGCAGAUGUGUGUGUGGUUUAUGACGUUGAGAAGAAUAAGCCCUAAAGCUUAUAAAUUUCUUAUACAAAUCAAGCCGGCCCCCCAUGUUCAUACUCUGUUGCUUAGAUAUUUUUUACUGGCGCGCCACGAAGAUUGCCCCUAUCAAAGCAGCUAAAAGAAUUAUCGAAAUUAAAUGAAUUCAAAUGGAAGAAAAAAUUCCGUUGAUAAAUGAAUUCUAAUCUGUUGACUAAUACUUAGCAAGUCGUGCUCUAUAGUCUGGUUUGAUCUUGUAAUCCAAAUAAUCCCAUAUCAUGACGUAUAUAGUCAUCCUAAUUAAAUUUCUAUUUUAAACAUGGUGUAGAUGGGUUUGAUAUUAGCAAUUAAUUGUAACAGUAGGUGUACUUUGAUGACAUGUUUCAUCUUUGUUAAAUUUACUAAUUUACCCCUCUAUUCCCAUCAUGGGGUCUGUAAAUUGUGAGUUAACAUAGCCUUGUUAUGUUUGGUUAUGUGUGUGACAUGUUACACCAUAAUUUUUUAUUUUUACUAAUCAUAAACGUUACAUUGUGUAAUCUUUUAAUUUUAAUUUUUUUA